CACAAAUAUGUCAAUUUAAUCAAAAAUGAAUUGUUGACCCUAUUUUUGUCUCAGCCGCUGAUCAAAAUUGAUCCAACGGCUGAGAUGGAUUCAACAUCCUCUUUCCUUUUUAAUAUCCCAACCAAAACCCUAACCCAAAAACAUUUCUCAACAUCCGCCUCUUUCCCUCUCUCUCAAAACGCUCUCUCUCAAGAAGCAAGCGCCGCCACCCCUCUCUCUCCUCCGAUCUCUUCGCGGACCAGCCCCAUUCCAGCGUCGCCGGCGACCAACCAGAUGACCCCAGCGACUAGCCGCCUCAACCACCGAAUAAAGCUCCGCCGCCACCAGCAGCGGCGAACCAACCCAGCGCCGCCGCUGGCUUUCUUCGUUCCUCCUCCUCCAGCUUCCAGCGCUACCAGUCAACGACGACCAUCCUCCACGCCGGAAGCCACGCGAGCCAGACCUCCGGUCCUCAGAACGAGAAAUAAGACGAACACCUUUCGGGUUUGACUCUUCUUAUGAUGAAAUCUGAUUGUAGCUGGAUAUAUUAACGAAAUAUUGAUAAUAGAAUGGGUGAUGCUGAGAUUGAAGAUGCGGAUGCUGAGUUGUAGUUUUUAGUAUUUUGUAUGUUUUAUAGUUUGGAUUUGGAAUCUCGAUAAAUUUUGUAAAUAAUGUUUGUAUUCUUAUGGUGGUUGGUUGAUUGUAUAUUAAAUGAUUGGUGGGAUGUAUUGUAGAUAAUAAUCAAUGUUUGUAAAUGAUUAGUGGGCUAUAUUGUAAGUAAUUUGAUUUUUAAUUUUUGUA